GGGGAUGCUAGGUUUCGACAAGAUUUUUUAACAAUUAGAUGCUAGGGGUGGAUGACCGUUAAUCACCUUAAAUAUCCGGUCAAACAUAUAGGUGCCAAUUAUACACCUAAUUACGCUUUCGCUUAAAAUUUAAGCUUAAGCCAUUCUGUCUUCGAUACUCGCUAGGAGAUCACAGAGUGUCAUAAACAGCGAGCUUGCCAGCUUUUGAUUCUUCUCCAACUGCUGGGACAUAAUGAGAGGAUAGUCGGAGAUAAUUUUUUCAGCUUUGUACUCUUCGGUGAAACAAUAAACUGAAUAUCUUAGUAGACAUCUAUUUGUACGAAUUUUGGACGCGAUUUCAAUAUCGCCAUCUCCACUA
rnacentral:tmRNA from 9 species